CACAUUGUAUUGAUAACAAUGGCUGUCAUAACGUCACCGGCCAAUGUUUCAAGGGAUGUGAGAACGGCUACUACUCACCGACCUGUAAUGAAGUGUGCGGUUACUGCGCUGGAGACAAAUCCUGUGACAGAGUUACUGGCAAAUGUUGGUCAGGAUGCAAGGCAGGUUAUACAGGGGAUUACUGCAAAGAGACAGUGAUCGAGGAGACGGAGACUGAAUCUGUUGUGCUGUUUUACGUGACGUUCUUGAUCAUGAUUGGCAUAGUUUUCUUUUUCCUCUUCUGUUCGCAGAAGAUCUUCUGGUACUGUAGUUUGACUGGGAGAGAUA
rnacentral:sRNA from 1 species